CGUKGGUGAWGAAGSCCUUCGRGUCRUAAAGCCCKRUCUAGAGGGAAGAAAUUSUCAAUGGAAUAAUACCYGUKGAGAKWGACGGUACCUCUGGAGGAAGCACCGGCUAACUCCGUGCCAGCARCCGCGGUAAUACGGAGGGUGCGAGCGUUGUUCGGAAUUACUGGGCGUAAAGCGGGUGUAGGCGGUUUGUUAAGUCAGAUGUGAAAGCCCACGGCUCAACCGUGGAAGUGCAUCUGAAACUGGCUGACUUGAGUACCGGAGAGGGAAGUGGAAUUCCUGGUGUAGGGGUGAAAUCCGUAGAUAUCAGGAGGAACACCGGUGGCGAAGGCGACUUCCUGGACGGAUACUGACGCUGAGAUCCGAAAGCGUGGGGAGCAAACAGGAUUAGAUACCCUGGUAGUCCACGCCCUAAACGAUGGGCACUAGGUGCAGGGGGUGUUGACCCCUCCUGUGCCGCAGCUAACGCAUUAAGUGCCCCGCCUGGGGAGUACGGCCGCAAGGUUG
rnacentral:rRNA from 1 species